GGAUCAGUAGGUUGGUCGUGCCACCGGUACGUACUGGUCUCACUGAUUCCUCCUUCCUGAAGAACCGUAAUGCCAUUAAUUUGGUGUUGCGGGGAAACAGGACUGUUACUUUGAAAAAAUUAGAGUGUUUAAAGCAAGCUAACGCUUGAAUACAUUAGCAUGGAAUAAUGAAAUAGGACGAUCGACCCUAUUUUGUUGGUUUCUAGGAUUGACGUA
rnacentral:rRNA from 1 species